GACGAACGCUGGCGGCGUGCUUAACACAUGCAAGUCGAACGGAAAGGCCCUGCUUUUGUGGGGUGCUCGAGUGGCGAACGGGUGAGUAACACGUGAGUAACCUGCCCUUGACUUUGGGAUAACUUCAGGAAACUGGGGCUAAUAUCGGAUAGGAGCUCCUGCUGCAUGGUGGGGGUUGGAAAGUUUCGGCGGUUGGGGAUGGACUCGCGGCUUAUCAGCUUGUUGGUGGGGUAGUGGCUUACCAAGGCUUUGACGGGUACCCGGCCUGUGAGGGUGACCGGCCACAUUGGGACUGAGAUACGGCCCAGACUCCUACGGGAGGCAGCAGUGGGGAAUAUUGCACAAUGGGCGGAAGCCUGAUGCAGCAACGCCGCGUGCGGGAUGACGGCCUUCGGGUUGUAAACCGCUGUCGCCUGUGACGAAGCGUGAGUGACGGUAAUGGGUAAAGAAGCACCGGCUAACUACGUG
rnacentral:rRNA from 1 species